rnacentral:lncRNA from 1 species
UGAAAAUAAUAUAUAAUAUAUAAUAUUUUGUAAUAUUAACCAUACUAUAUAAAUAGACAGGAAUCAAGGAGAAGCCAUCCAGAUCACAUGUUUAUUGACAAACACAUAUGCACUUAGUGUUCUAUUCUAUAUGAUCAAAAUAUGAUCAAAGUAGUAUAAGAUUAUAAUCUAUCCACAACUCCUAAUACUAAACAUUACCCCAA